rnacentral:lncRNA from 13 species
CUGCUGGAUUUUAAACAUGUGUGAGGCCUGUAGCCCCUUUCUUUGAGCUGAUUUCUCCCUUUUUGAAAGGUAAUGUUUACCCAAUGCUUACAACCUGUUGUAUCUUGAAAUAAACUGGUGUAUUUAAUUUUACAGGCUCAUAGUUGGAAGGAACUUGCCUGUCAGAUGAGACUUUGGACUUUGAACUGCUGAGUUAAUGCUGGAAUGAGUUAAGACUUUAAGGGACUAUUGGGAAGAUAGUAAUGCGUUUUGCAAUGUGAGAAGGACAUGAGAUUUGGGGGUCUGGAGCAGAAUAAAUUCCCACCAAAAUCUCAUGUUGAAAUGUAAUCCCUAAUGCUGGAGGUGCUGCUUAAGAGUAUACUAUGCAGAACCAGACUGGAUUCAAAACCAGGAUUCAAAUCCCUGCUCUGAAACUUGGGUCUCACUAACUAACUCUUUCAUCAUUAAAAUGAAGAUAAUAACAAUAAGAAUGUAAGUGGGUUGUUGACAGGACAUGAGUUAUUACAUAAAAAUCGUUUGGAAUAAAGCAUGUCGCAAAAUUGUUAUUAAUACA